GCCCCCUUGGCCUAAUGGUUAAGGCGUCAGACUUCUACAUUGAAGAUAAAUCUGAAGACUGGGAGUUCGAAUCUCCCAGGGGGCU
rnacentral:tRNA from 1 species